rnacentral:rRNA from 1 species
GACGAACGCUGGCGGCGUGUCUAAUACAUGCAAGUCGAACGCAGUGGGGACGGGUGAGUAACACGUGGGUAACCUCCCAUCAGAGGGGAUAACACUUGGAUACAGGUGCUAAACCGAUACUGAUGGAUGGACCCGCGGUGCAUUAGCUAGUUGGUGGGGUAACGGCCUACCAAGGCCAUGAUGCAUAGCGGGCCUGAGAGGGUGACCAGCCACACUGGGACUGAGACACGGCCCAGACUCCUACGGGAGGCAGCAGUAGGGAAUCUUCGGCAAUGGGCGAAAGUCUGACCCAGCAACGCCGCGUGUGUGAAGAAGGUUUUCGGGUCGUAAAGCACUGUUGUGAGGGAGGCGGUAUCUGACCAGGAAGCAACGGCUAACUACGUGCCAGCAGCCGCGGUAAUUC